rnacentral:sRNA from 1 species
UUCUCCCCCAGGGGAGAAAAANGAGAAAUCCCGGGCAACCCGUAGAGUAAAGUGUUUUUUCCCCUGAGUAACGCGUGGGAAAUCUGCCCUGAAGUUAGGAAUAACACCUCGAAAGGGGUGCUAAUACCAAAUAACAUCUCCGGAACCUCGGUUCGGGAGAUCAAAGACGGCUGAUGCUUGCAAGCUGUCGCUUUAGGAUGAGCCCGCGUACCAUUAGCUAGUUGGUGGGGUAACAGCCCACCAAGGCCAUGAUGGUUAGCUGGUCUGAGAAGAUGGCCAGCCACACUGGAACUGAUAUACUGUCCACACUCCUACUGGAGGCAGCAGUGGG